UCAGGUGUGAUUACCCGCUGAACCUUAAGCAUAU
rnacentral:rRNA from 1 species